rnacentral:rRNA from 1 species
UACGAAGGGGGCUAGCGUUGUUCGGAAUUACUGGGCGUAAAGCGCACGUAGGCGGAUCGAUCAGUCAGGGGUGAAAUCCCAGGGCUCAACCCUGGAACUGCCUUUGAUACUGUCGAUCUGGAGUAUGGAAGAGGUGAGUGGAAUUCCGAGUGUAGAGGUGAAAUUCGUAGAUAUUCGGAGGAACACCAGUGGCGAAGGCGGCUCACUGGUCCAUUACUGACGCUGAGGCGCGAAAGCCAGGGGAGCGAACGGG